ACAAGCAGCGGAGCGAUGUGGUUAAUUCGAGCAACGCGAAGAACCUUACCAAGGCUUGACAUCCCUUGACCGCCAUGGAACAUGGCUUCCUUCGGGCAAGGAGACAGGUGGUGCAUGGUUGUCGUCAGCUCGUGUCGUGAGAUGUUGGGUUAAGUCCCGCAACGAGCGCAACCCUUGUCAUUAGUUGCCAGCGCGUAAGGGCGGGAACUCUAAUGAGACUGCCGGGGAUAACUCGGAGGAAGGUGGGGACGACGUCAAAUCAUCAUGCCCCUUAUGUCUUGGGCUACACACGUGCUACAAUGGCCGGUACAAAGGGCUGCGAAACCGCAAGGUGAAGCGAAUCCCAUAAAGCCGGUCUCAGUUCGGAUCGUGGGCUGCAACCCGCCCACGUGAAGCCGGAGUUGCUAGUAAUCGCGAAUCAGCAUGUCGCGGUGAAUGCGUUCCCGGGUCUU
rnacentral:rRNA from 1 species